rnacentral:rRNA from 1 species
CCCUUAGAUGUUCUGGGCUGCACGCGCGCUACACUGGUGCGUUCAGCGAGUUUAGCACCUUAACAGAUAUGUUUGGGUAAUCUUCUGAAAACGCACCGUGAUGGGGAUCGAUUAUUGCAAUUAUUAAUCGUCAACGAGGAAUUCCUAGUAAGUGUGAAUCAUCAGUUCGCGCUGAUUACGUCCCUGCCCUUUGUACACACCGCCCGUCGCUGCUACCGAUUGAGUGGUCCUGUGAAUUAUUCGGACCGGUGGACUGUGGGGAAACCCGCGGCCUGCUGGGAAGUCUUGUGAACCUUAUCACUUAGAGGAAGCAGAAGUCGUAACA